GGAUUAGAUACCCUGGUAGUCCACGCCGUAAACGAUGUCUACUAGCAGUUUGCCUCUUAAGAGGUGUCUUGCGCAGCUAACGCAUUAAGUAGACCGCCUGGGGAGUACGGCCGCAAGGUUAAAACUCAAAUGAAUUGACGGGGGCCCGCACAAGCGGUGGAGCAUGUGGUUUAAUUCGAUGCAACGCGAAGAACCUUACCAUCCCUUGACAUCCAGAGAAUUUUCUAGAGAUAGAUUAGUGCCUUCGGGAACUCUGAGACAGGUGCUGCAUGGCUGUCGUCAGCUCGUGCUG
rnacentral:rRNA from 1 species